rnacentral:rRNA from 1 species
GAUGAACGCUGGCGGCGUGCCUAAUACAUGCAAGUCGAGCGAACAGACGAGGAGCUUGCUCCUCUGACGUUAGCGGCGGACGGGUGAGUCACACGUGGAUAACCUCCCUAUAAGACUGGGAUAACUUCGGGACACCGGAGCUAAUACCGGAUAAUAUCUUGAACCGCAUGGUUCAAUAGUGAAAGACGGUUUUGCUGUCACUUCUCGCUGGAUCCGCGCCGCAUUAGCUAGUUGGUAAGGUCACGGCUUACCAAGGCAACCAUGCGUAGCCGACCGAACGGGGGGGUCGGCCACCCGAGAGCGGAGACACGGUCCAGACUACUGCGGGAGGCAGCAGAAGGGAAUGUGACGCAAUGGGCGAAAGCCUGGCGGAGCAACGCCGCGUGAGUGAUGAAGGUCCUGGGAUCGUAAAACCCGGUUAUUAGGGAAGAACAAAUGUGUAAGUAACUAAGCACGGCGUGACGGUACCUAAUCAGAAAGCCACGGCUAACUACGUG